GUCACUUCCAAUCUUUACAAUAGGGUCCUACACCUUCUCCAUCAUAGGAUCUGGACUCCUGGGAGAGCUGCUCCAGCUUGAACUCAGCCACAGCCUGGCAGGGACUUUGCUGGGAUCUCAAGCUUGGCAGGGCUCCUCCAAGAGGGUGUGACAGAGGCCGUGUGGCAGGACUCCUCCCAGCAAGUAACAUGGCUUUCAGAAUCCCCCCACCCCACCCCUACACUCCCACUGGCAGCAGAGUAACUGGAGAUCUGCUGGUACUGAAGAGGAGACCCAGGGGAACCAGAAGGCUGGGCAGAAAGAACAUAUCUCCCCAGACCAGAUUGGUCUAGGGAGGUGGUCAGAGAGAAGGCAGUCAUCUGCAAGACAAGGAGAGGUCUUGCAGACCAGACACCAGCUCUACCAUCACCUUGACCUUGGAUUUCCAGCCUCUAGAAUCAUAAGUAAAUAAAAUUCUGUUGUUUAAUCUA